CCAAACACAAGUGUUUUGGGCUUCUCCUAUGAUUAAAUGACAUGCAGCAUCAAUUAUCAUCUUGACCGGUUAACAUUUCCCUGUUGCAAUCUCAAUUGUGUAAAAAGAUUAAUCAUAGCAGAAGUAAAGUAGUUGUAAUCACAAUUGUGUUUUUAUCUCAAAUAGAUCGGCCGAAAAUUUUAAAAAGUCACCACAAGUCGUAUAGUGCAUUUCCUAGUUCUUCAGCAUCAACUUUUCCACUUUUAUGUGCUAUCAAAACUCUUGAAGAUAGCGAA
rnacentral:lncRNA from 1 species